CCUCGAGGCCCCCCUCGAGGAUUUGGUUGCCCGACUCACGCCGCUGCCCGACCCGAGACGCCGCCACCGACUCCUCCCAAGACGUCGCCGCCGACUCCUUCCCAAGACGCCGCGCCGCCCGACGCCUCGACGCCGGCGAUCUCCUCCGGCAUACUGGACUUCUCCCCGGUGCCUGCCGCUUGGAUCCUUGUUGGGGUGGACGAGUUACCUCCUUCUUGGGAACUUGUUGCCACGCCAAACUUUGAUUGGAGCAAGAAACUGCUGUGAAAAGGGAGACAUCGCCUGACAUGAUCAAAAAGGAGAUUUUGCGUGUACAAGUAGAGCUGAUGAAGUGAAGUGUACCAGGUAAUUCCUGACAUCUCAUUUGGGGACUGCUGUGAGACUCAUGUAUACAACUUGCUCAACCACACUUUGGGCAAAAUCUGAUGGGUGUUUGCUGCGAAAGAUUAUGUUGUUAUGAUAAAUUAUGAAUGUUGGGAUUUGGGUUUCAAAAACAUGUUAUGAUAAAUUAUGUAGUUGCCGUGAUGAGAUAUUGAUUUCAAGUCAUUUUUAUCAAUUCUGCAACAAGGAUAUAAGGGGAGUUAGUUACAUUGUAAAGAUUGGAUUUUUAAAUGUUCUACACCAUGUUAUGUCAACAUGACAAACCCUUUCUACCAAAUGGAAAUUUUAAACAAAGAGGAUUGUGAAAGGAAGGUUUUGAGGAUUCAAGGAGU